GCCAACUGAUGUCAAGCUAACCCAUGCCAGUUUCUAUAGAUCAGAAACAUAUUUGCCUUUAUAAAGGACGUGAAGGUCACCUUUGAUUCCAGAUGUUUAAAUGUAAGGGCUUCUCUGUUAAAUCUUGGCCACACAAACAUAGAUACCGUGGUCAGCAGCAGGUAUCGAUCCCCCUAUCUUCAGCGUAAGCCUUGACUGCUCGAGCUAGAGUAGCUCUUUCAGCUCUGAGCAAGUAGCAGGCUGUUAUAAGCACUGAGUGCAGUCGUUUGGCUGAGAUGCAGUUACACACACGAAGCCAGUGUAAUCCACAUGCAUCUAACUUUUCUGCUCCCCUAAAUUCUAUUCUAGAUGUAUUUCGUGAUUGAUACAAAAAUCACAUUCGUUUAAGGCUUCCUUUGAAGGAUCUGUGAGAAUUGUGGAUGCACGUGCUAGUUUUAAACGUAUUUUCAAAUAGCAUAUUCUGCUUUUUGGCUGGCUUCUUAUAUCAGCCAGACGCCAUUAUGAUACCAUCAGUUGUGAAUCAAUUAUUCUAUAUGCUACUGUCACUGUUUAAUUUGGCACCAUGAAAUACACUAAGGGAGAAUGAAGGGGAUUAAAUGUUUUAAAGUGGGGAUCUUGCUCCGUAAAAAUGACAUCACAAAAUUUGUCUCUCCUUCACUUACAGAUCCAGUUUGCUCAGUUCACAAGUAAAAAGAUGGUUUUCUAACUGUUCCCAAACUCUACAUGGGACCAGAGAGUCAAGUUGGGUUCUGUCUGGCUCCUGGACCAACACCUGUCCCCUUGACUCAGUGGAGGUGUAUUAUAGAUGUACAUAUGUGGGGCUCCUAUGGUUGGUUGAAAUGGUUUAAAUUUCACACGUUCCAUCAAAAAUGUUGUUUGAAUUCUGAGCAAAAAAAGAGCAAAAGAUGUUCAGUGAAAUCUUCACAAAACUUCUCUCCCCUCUGCCCCCCGCCCCCACACAUAUUUUAGACAAACUUUAGAGCUAGCUGAAAUUUCUGAUAUAUUGAAGUUUGAUUAAGUUUAUAAGAACUUGAAGACAGGAUGAAAUUUCAGAACUGGAAAAUAAUGAUGAAAAGCUUUUCACCAUUUUUUCCUUCUGUUUUUCUACCUGCUCUAGUUGCACCUUACCUCCAUGUUGGCGUUACUGCUGUGUCCAGCUGGGUGUGAGCACCCCUUUGCUACCAUGGAAACUAGUGAUAGAGAGCCUCUCCCAUGGUUCUUCUCUGAGUGGGUGUGUACUUUAUACGUUGCAGUGAUAGUGUGUGCCCUCAGUGUACUCGAGUUGGGAAGCACGUGCGCUUGCCAUCGGUGGAAUGUAUAUGUACAUGACACAUCUUGAAGGACAACAAUUACUGUACAGGUAAAUAACCCUUUCUUCCUGGUGGUGGUAUGUGAGCAAGAAGGAGCCAGCUUGACUCUCAGAUCCAAGGAGAACUUGAAGGGCAACUAGAUUUUAAAAAAUCCUUUAAACUGUAAACUGAGCAACUUUGGUGUUGAAUUACAUUGCUUAGAAACACCCCCAAAAUUGUGAUCAACUAUUUCACUGGGGGAAAGUGGGGUUUGGGAUCAAAAUUGAAUUUUCAACCCAAAACAAUGUGUUAAAAAUUAGAAAUUUUCCACUGGCCCUAAGUCUGGAGUCAGUGAAAGACAGUCAACAUGGAACCCCACAAUGUCGAUGUUCAGAGUAGAACAUUUUUAAGGGAGCCAUUUUCAAAAGUGCUGAGACCUGGCCUAACUCUGUUCCCACUGAGAUCAACAUUGAAAAUUGCUCUUGAAAAUCCACCGAAGAGCCCCUUCAAUGAUAUUUCCCAGAAGAGACUCUUUAUUUAAAAAAAAAAGAAAAGGCAGCACUAGUUUCCUCUAACUUCCAGAUACAUUUAAAUGAUGAAACAUCUCUUCCGAAGUCUUUUGAUCAUCGGCCUUUCUCUAUCCCCCUUCCCAUGUGGAUCACACUGACAAGUAACUCUUCUCUUCAAACUAGCCACUGUGGUGGCACUGAACAGGCUGGUGUCUUUUGGUGGCCUAGCGGGAAGCUGGAUAAGGAGUCUAAAUGGUGAAUCUCACACACUUGGUGCCAUUUUGGGGUGAGUGGGUGGGUGUGGUGUUAAAUGGGUUAUAUUAACUUUCAGUGCUUCAGGGAAUGGUGUGGCUUGCGGGAAGCAAUGUCCACACGGCUGCACCAGAUUGUUUAGUUCUUGGUGGUUUUACUGUGGUAAGUCCCUUACCAAAGGCUCUUCAGCAGAGUAGGCAGUGGCAGGAUAAGAAGGAAGGGCAUCUCACGGAUCGGUAACUGAUUCAAAGAUAGGAAACAAAGGGUAGGAAUAAAUGGCCGGUUUUUACAGAGGAGAGGUAGAUA
ensembl:lncRNA